UCUUCUUAUGACACAUCCCACAGAGGACGAAGCCCACACUGCGUAAAAAAAAUCUCGAUCCCCUCCUCUCUCUCCGAUGCAUCCAGUCGGUAGCACCCGGCGGCUGCCAGAUCCGUCCUCCCUUCGGAUCCACCAGCUCGACACUCUCCGUCACCGCCUUGCCCACCAUGGCGGCCAGCAAGGCGUCCCUUGGCGUUCGGCCAUCCCUGUACGGCGGCAUCAUGUCAGCGGCUGCAUCCAACUCUACUAUCGCCCGUCGGCCGCGUACAGGUCUUUGCUCUCUGCCAUCGGCCGCCUCCACCAUGUCUCCAGCUCCAUGCUGCCCGACUUGACAUCCUCUGCAUCAUAGUCAUCUUGGUUGCCGACGAAAGCUAGCUCUUCCUCCUCUGGGAUCGAUUUCACCUUCAUCUUGCUCUGCCACGGGUGGAUCUUCAGCCCCCUCGCAUAUGUGUUAUCCGUACUAUACUCCAGCCGGCUGGACGUGCAUGUGACGUGGGUGGCUUGACGUGCGCGUUCUAUUGGCAUAGGAAGCGGGCGGUUGUAGGCAGAGAAAGUUGCUGCCUACUUGCAGAGGGGAUUAGGAUUGUGUAUCAUAAUUAGGCGAGCUCAUUUGAUCUGUUUUGGUCUGGAUUAGUUAAAUCGUGAAUUGAUAAUUGUUUCUUGGUGCAGGAACUUUAAGUCAACCGGCUUGACGGCAACACGUACUAUGAGUUUCUUCCUAAAUCUGAAACUAUUUGGCCCAUAAAUUGUAAUCCCCUUGAGAAAGUUAGAGUCUUUAUGGAUCGGACUGGGUAAUGGAUGUUGACAAAUUUGAUUGCAGCAGGACCGGCAAACAAAGUGCAGUGCUCACCGUUGUAGAUAUAUUCAGGGUAGCAUCAAACUUCAGUGAAAAUGAGCAUUACUAGGCAGCGAGCUUCAUGCAUCAUUGGAUUUGAGAAUUCUGUACUAUGGUGAAUUAUUUUUGUUUCUUGGAGACACUAACAAUAGCUUCUUAUUAGUGCCCAUGGUGAAAGAGCUAUAUUGGUGUGCCUUUCUUGGAUUCAGAUUCUUAUAUUCGAUAUUAGCUACCUGCAGGAGUAAUAUUUACCGACGAUGCUCAAUAUGGCUGAACCUGCCGGCUGCACGCGGUACAUGCUCACGCGCGACAACGGUCCGCACAUGUAUGCCGCGUCAGAGGUGUCGCUACGGCUCAUCGCUGAGCUGCACCUAUGAGCACAUGUUUGCGCCUGACUGCCUUGGCCCGCUCAUGGCCAUCGCAGACACUGUCAUAUUCAAAGAUUGAUUGAUCUGGUGCUCUGGAUCAUAGCUACACGUAGGAGUUAGUUCUGGCGCCUAAUUUGUGAAAAGGUUCCGAGGUUCUAUAGACAUUACUUCUUCUUGUUUUAUACUUUGUCUGAAUUGAGAUUUCAUUCCUAUUUUUUUCAAAAGUUAGUUGUAUCCAACAACAACAUAAUACAUGCUCACUGGGAUGUUUUGCUUUGAAUUUUUGGACAUUACAUGCGAAAGCCGUAGCAACCGAGUGCUCAUUAAACUUUCUUAGCGUAAAAGGUCCAGAACUGAUAAACAUGUAUGUUGGAGAAUCAGAGAAGAAUAUCAGGGACAUCUUUGAGAAGGUUAGAUCAGCACGCCCAUGAGUAAUUUUCUCCGAUGAGCUUGAUCCCCUUGCUUCUGCACGAGGGUCCUCUCGCAGAUUCUGGAGGUGUGAUGGACAUAGUGGUGUCUCAAAUAUAAUUAACCUCAUCAAUGAGGUGGUGACUGGUGUCUCGGUUUUUCCUCUCUUUUUUUACCUGUGCCUCAGUUUUCCUUCUUAUUUUCUAUGUUUAAAUGUUGGGUAAACUAAUUCAGUUUCCCUUUCUCUCUCUUUACUAGCACAAAUGCCUGAUGGAGAUGCAUAUGUUUGGCAUUCCAUCAGUAAACAUACACUUGUGUACUACAUUUUGUGAUUGUGUAGUAUCCACACCACUACUAAUGCUAAAGUCUGUUGCCUUGCCGUGUAAUUGUGUCAUAUGCACACCAAUACAAAUGCUCUAUGCUCUUGCCUGAGAACACGUGUUUUGCUUUAUAUCAUAUCAUCUAACAAAGAUGUAAACUCUUUAAGUAAAAACAUACUUUAGCACUAUGAUCCAGUAUGUAUUGAGUAGUGGAUUAAUGUAUGUAUUUGGUAUCCUUGCAACUACUUAUUUAUUGCUUGCACCAGAAAUACCAAUAAGUUACUAUUGAUAAUUCAAAUAUACUAUCAGGAAAAUGUAAAGACACUGACGCACUGGUCUCAACUAGCUCUGCUCUGGUGCCAUUCAACCAUAUUGGUUCUGCACCCCGAGCACUCAACCCUACGACGGAGUUGGUUCUGCAUACUGUCAUUUUCUCCCAUCGCAAUGCACGAGCUCAAAUCGACAUUGUUUACCGGUUCAGUUUAGUAGCGCAUCUCCUUGUGAUCGCAUCUGUUGUUUAUUCCAUGAAAGAAACAUGUAUGCAGUUUUUUGGGUUUGUCUUGAAGUUCGUAGGAUAUCGUAGGAAUUGAUCAUGAACUCGAUGUCCUAUCCAAGAAGGGUGAGGUUGUUUAGGAGAGCACACAUGAGCCAUACUUUGGCGAGAGGUAGACACACUGAUUGAUUAGCCGCUUUUUGAUUUGUAUCACUCCCACUGGCUUGAUCUGCCUACAUAGAUGUAUGAUGUGGAUGUAAAAGAAUAAGUUUUGGAUUA